rnacentral:misc_RNA from 1 species
UGAGAAUUAUAAAUUCAAAUUAGCCUGCUAUUUUAUUCAGGAAAUUUUGCGUACAAAACUUGACAAGAGCGACUAUUCAAACAUGCAUAGAGUGACUUGCCUAUGCCAAAUUCAUUCCAUUUUGUACUGCAAUAUCUUGAGUUCAAAUCCCAGCAUUCCCCUACCAUUCUGAUGUGUGGAAAUGUAAAUAAGGUUUGAAACAUGCAUAGAGUGACUUGCCUAUGCCAAAUUCAUUCCAUUUUGUACUGCAAUAUCUUGAGUUCAAAUCCCAGCAUUCCCCUACCAUUCUGAUGUGUGGAAAUGUAAAUAAGGUUUG